rnacentral:tRNA from 1 species
UAAAAAGUAGUACAACGGAAGUGCAAAGGGUUUUGAUCCCUUAAGUGUAGGUUCAACCCCUAUCUUUUUAG